rnacentral:rRNA from 1 species
AGUGAACGCUGGCGGUAGGCCUAACACAUGCAAGUCGAACGGCAGCACAGUAAGAGCUUGCUCUUACGGGUGGCGAGUGGCGGACGGGUGAGGAAUACAUCGGCAUCUACUUUUUCGUGGGGGAUAACGUAGGGAAACUUACGCUAAUACCGCAUACGACCUACGGGUGAAAGCAGGGGAUCUUCGGACCUUUCGCGAUUGAAUGAGCCGAUGUCGGAUUAGCUAGUUGGUGGGGUAAAGGCCCACCAAGGCGACGAUCCGUAGCUGGUCUGAGAGGAUGAUCGGCCACACUGGAACUGAGACACGGUCCAGACUCCUACGGGAGGCAGCAGUGGGGAAUAUUCGACAAUGGGCGAAAGCCUGAUCCAGCCAUACCGCGUGGGUGAAGAAGGCCUUCGGGUUGUAAAGCCCUUUUGUUGGGGAAGAAAAGCAGCAGGUUAAUACCCCGCUGUUCUGACGGUACCCAAAGAAUAAGCACCGGCUAACUUCGUG